rnacentral:rRNA from 1 species
GGUCAAGUGAAGAAGCGCAUACGGUGGAUGCCUUGGCAGUCAGAGGCGAUGAAAGACGUGGUAGCCUGCGAAAAGCUUCGGGGAGUCGGCAAACAGACUUUGAUCCGGAGAUGUCUGAAUGGGGGGAACCCAGCCAUCAUAAGAUGGUUAUCUUGUACUGAAUACAUAGGUGCAAGAGGCGAACCAGGGGAACUGAAACAUCUAAGUACCCUGAGGAAAAGAAAUCAACCGAGAUUCCCUUAGUAGUGGCGAGCGAACGGGGACUAGCCCUUAAGUGGCUUUGAGAUUAGCGGAACGCUCUGGAAAGUGCGGCCAUAGUGGGUGAUAGCCCUGUACGCGAAAAUCUCUUAGUCAUGAAAUCGAGUAGGACGGAGCACGAGAAACUUUGUCUGAAUAUGGGGGGACCAUCCUCCAAGGCUAAAUACUACUGACUGACCGAUAGUGAACUAGUACCGUGAGGGAAAGGCGAAAAAGAACCCCGGAGAGGGGAGUGAAAUAGAUCCUGAAACCGUAUGCGUACAAGCAGUGGGAGCAGACUUUGUUCUGUGACUGCGUACCUUUUGUAUAAUGGGUCAGCGACUUAUUUUCAGUGGCGAGCUUAACCGAAUAGGGGAGGCGUAGCGAAAGCGAGUCUUAAUAGGGCGUCUAGUCGCUGGGAAUAGACCCGAAACCGGGCGAUCUAUCCAUGGGCAGGUUGAAGGUUAGGUAACACUGACUGGAGGACCGAACCGACUACCGUUGAAAAGUUAGCGGAUGACCUGUGGAUCGGAGUGAAAGGCUAAUCAAGCUCGGAGAUAGCUGGUUCUCCUCGAAAGCUAUUUAGGUAGCGCCUCAUGUAUCACUGUAGGGGGGUAGAGCACUGUUUCGGCUAGGGGGGUCAUCCCGACUUACCAAACCGAUGCAAACUCCGAAUACCUACAAGUGCCGAGCAUGGGAGACACACGGCGGGUGCUAACGUCCGUCGUGAAAAGGGAAACAACCCAGACCGUCAGCUAAGGUCCCAAAGUUAUGGUUAAGUGGGAAACGAUGUGGGAAGGCUUAGACAGCUAGGAGGUUGGCUUAGAAGCAGCCACCCUUUAAAGAAAGCGUAAUAGCUCACUAGUCGAGUCGGCCUGCGCGGAAGAUGUAACGGGGCUCAAACCAUACACCGAAGCUACGGGUAUCACGUAAGUGAUGCGGUAGAGGAGCGUUCUGUAAGCCUGUGAAGGUGAGUUGAGAAGCUUGCUGGAGGUAUCAGAAGUGCGAAUGCUGACAUGAGUAACGACAAUGGGUGUGAAAAACACCCACGCCGAAAGACCAAGGUUUCCUGCGCAACGUUAAUCGACGCAGGGUUAGUCGGUCCCUAAGGCGAGGCUGAAAAGCGUAGUCGAUGGAAAACAGGUUAAUAUUCCUGUACUUCUGGUUAUUGCGAUGGAGGGACGGAGAAGGCUAGGCCAGCUUGGCGUUGGUUGUCCAAGUUUAAGGUGGUAGGCUGGAAUCUUAGGUAAAUCCGGGAUUCUAAGGCCGAGAGCUGAUGACGAGUUGCCUUUAGGCGACGAAGUGGUUGAUGCCAUGCUUCCAAGAAAAGCUUCUAAGCUUCAGAUAACCAGGAACCGUACCCCAAACCGACACAGGUGGUUGGGUAGAGAAUACCAAGGCGCUUGAGAGAACUCGGGUGAAGGAACUAGGCAAAAUGGCACCGUAACUUCGGGAGAAGGUGCGCCGGUGAGGGUGAAGCACUUGCUGCGUAAGCCCACGCCGGUCGAAGAUACCAGGCCGCUGCGACUGUUUAUUAAAAACACAGCACUCUGCAAACACGAAAGUGGACGUAUAGGGUGUGACGCCUGCCCGGUGCCGGAAGGUUAAUUGAUGGGGUUAGCUAACGCGAAGCUCUUGAUCGAAGCCCCGGUAAACGGCGGCCGUAACUAUAACGGUCCUAAGGUAGCGAAAUUCCUUGUCGGGUAAGUUCCGACCUGCACGAAUGGCGUAACGAUGGCGGCGCUGUCUCCACCCGAGACUCAGUGAAAUUGAAAUCGCUGUGAAGAUGCAGUGUAUCCGCGGCUAGACGGAAAGACCCCGUGAACCUUUACUAUAGCUUUGCACUGGACUUUGAAUUUGCUUGUGUAGGAUAGGUGGGAGGCUUUGAAGCGUGGACGCCAGUUCGCGUGGAGCCAUCCUUGAAAUACCACCCUGGCAACUUUGAGGUUCUAACUCAGGUCCGUUAUCCGGAUCGAGGACAGUGUAUGGUGGGUAGUUUGACUGGGGGCGGUCUCCUCCUAAAGAGUAACGGAGGAGUACGAAGGUGCGCUCAGACCGGUCGGAAAUCGGUCGUAGAGUAUAAAGGCAAAAGCGCGCUUGACUGCGAGACAGACACGUCGAGCAGGUACGAAAAGUAGGUCUUAGUGAUCCGGUGGUUCUGUAUGGAAGGGCCAUCGCUCAACGGAUAAAAAGGUACUCCGGGGAUAACAGGCUGAUACCGCCCAAGAGUUCAUAUCGACGGCGGUGUUUGGCACCUCGAUGUCGGCUCAUCACAUCCUGGGGCUGAAGCCGGUCCCAAAGGGUAUGGCUGUUCGCCAUUUAAAGUGGUACGCGAGCUGGGUUUAGAACGUCGUGAGACAGUUCGGUCCCUAUCUGCCGUGGACGUUUGAGAUUUGAGAGGGGCUGCUCCUAGUACGAGAGGACCGGAGUGGACGAACCUCUGGUGUUCCGGUUGUCACGCCAGUGGCAUUGCCGGGUAGCUAUGUUCGGGAAAGAUAACCGCUGAAAGCAUCUAAGCGGGAAACUUGCCUCAAGAUGAGAUCUCACUGGAACCUUGAGUUCCCUGAAGGGCCGUCGAAGACUACGACGUUGAUAGGUUGGGUGUGUAAGCGCUGUGAGGCGUUGAGCUAACCAAUACUAAUUGCCCGUGAGGCUUGACCAU